CCUGUUCAGAGCGUAACACACCACAAUUCCACUCAGAAAUAAAAAAAGGACACUGCAUGAAAAGAACACAAACAGAAGCUCCUCAUGAACAAUCCAGAGAAACUAUUUAUUGUUACAAGACUGGGAACAUAAGCAACUUAAUUUUCCACACAGACAAUCCCCUGGCAUGGUACAGCUCUGUCUUGGUGACGACUCCCCCACACCAAGUGAGUCGCUCAACACCCCCACAGACGAGGAACCCCAAGACGAACAGGUCAACACACUCCAGUCAGCACAGACAACAGUCCAGCACAACAACACCCCCUCAACUAGACUCAGAGAGCUGGAGGGGGGUGAGAGACGUGUCUGCACUCUGGACUUUGGUGAGAAAACUUCAAUAGGAGAAAGAGUAGGAGCGGAAGGAGGAGGCCCAGCGGCAGGAGAAGAUGAGAGAAGAGGAGGAGAAAAAGAUGAAGGAGGAGGUGGUGAGAAAGAUGAAGGAGAUGAGAAAGAGGAAGUAGGAGGAGGAGAGAAAGAUGGAGGAGGAGGGAAUAAAGAUGGAGGAGGAGGGAAUAAAGAUGAAGGAGGAGGAGAGAGAAAUUGAUGAGGUGAGAAAGAUGAAAAAGGUGAGAAAGAUGGAGGAGGAGGUGAGAAAGAUGAAGGAGGAGGUGAGAAAGAUGAAGGAGAUGAGAAAGAUGGAGGAGGAGGUGAGAAAGAUGAAGGAGGUGAGAAAGAUGGAGGAGGAGGUGAGAAAGAUGGAGGAGAGAAAGAUGAAGGAGGAGGUGAGAAAGAUGGAGGAGAGAAAGAUGGAGGAGGAGGUGAGAAAGAUGAAGGAGGAGGUGAGAAAGAUGAAGGAGGUGAGAAAGAUGAAGGAGGUGAGAAAGAUGAUGGAGGCAGUGAGAAGAUGAUGGAGGUGGUGAGAAAGAUGGAGGAGGAGGAGAGAGAGAUUGAUGAGGUGAGAAAGAUGGAGGAGGAGGUGAGAAAGAUGAAGGAGGUGAGGAAGAUGGAGGAG
rnacentral:lncRNA from 1 species